rnacentral:rRNA from 1 species
CCUACGGGUGGCAGCAGUGAGGAAUAUUGGUCAAUGGGCGGGAGCCUGAACCAGCCAAGUCGCGUGAAGGAAGAAGGUCCUUAGUAUUGUAAACUUCUUUUGUCGGGGCACAAAGGCGGAGACGCGUCUCCGUAUGAGUGUCCCCUAAGAAAAAGCAUCGGCUAACUCCGUGCCAGCAGCCGCGGUAAUACGGAGGAUGCGGGCGUUAUCCGGAUUUAUUGGGUGUAAAGGGUGCGCAGGCGGGAGAUCAAGUCCGCGGUAAAAUGGCGGGGCUCAACCCGAGGACGGCACAUGAUACUGAGGGACUAGAGUAAGGGAGGGGGAACCGGAAUUCUCGGUGUAGCAGUGAAAUGCGUAGAUAUCGAGAGGAACACUCGUGGCGAAGGCGGGUUACUGGACAGUAACUGACGCUGAGGCACGAAGGCCAGGGGAGCGAAAGGGAUUAGAUACCCGGGUAGUC